rnacentral:tRNA from 1 species
UGUAAUAUGCCUGAUAAAAGGAAUAUCUUGAUAGGAUAUAUUAUACAAUUUUUUGUUAUUACAU